UAAGAACUUUGGUCAGCUUACUUAUUUUAUGUGUUAGAGUAAUCUAAUACAUUGGCGAGCCCCCCAAGAACGGUUAAGCCAAAUACAGCAAAAUCUAACAAUUUGGCGAAGCCAGCCAGGAGAGACUGAAAAGAGGAAAACUCAUCAACUGCAACAAGAAAUGAAUUGAAGAAUCUUGGAGAAUCUACAGUUAAAGCUGAAGAUAAACGGAUUUUGUUUGUGGACGAGUCCUGGAUCUACAUAUUGUAUCUGUGGACACCCUUUAUUUUAAUCAACUGGAUCUCAUCUCAAAGAUCCUAGUUUGGUGUUCCAGAGGAUGACCAGAGACACACAACACCAGACACCUAGAUGAACACACCUAAACAUCCACAGAACACAACCACAUCCUGCUACUUCUACAACAUUACAACUUCAAAUAGAAAUGGACUCAGGCAUUUGAGGAAAUGCAAGCUUCACCAUGCCUUGUUAUUCUGUCACUUUAAGUUAUAUAGCCUGUAUUGCAGAUUGCUGUAUACAUGAUUAACUUGUUUUAUGAUCAAAUAUGAUCAGAGGAGGGAUUGAAAGAUUAUGUGCAUUUUAGUUCAGUUGCAUUUACAUUGAUUAAACUCUGAUGUGAUAUGAUGGGGUGACCUGUGCCUCGACCCCCACAAACUGAUAGGUGUGAACUAAAUGACCCUUUUACAAUCUCAAUGGGUAUUAGCAAAACAACAGCUGAAACAUCUGAAGAGGGUCCUGCUGAGCUUCGUAAACAGAAUGGUUUGUUUGAUGCUAGUAUAAAGUACUGUCUCACAGACAGUACUUUGGGUUAAGUUACUUGAAGACCGACGGGUUAACAUCACUGCUCAGGAACUGCACUAUUCAUUGUCUUCAAUAAAGUCUUCUCUCCGUAAGAAC